rnacentral:rRNA from 1 species
CAGCAGCCGCGGGAAUACGUAGGGUGCAAGCGUUAAUCGGAAUUACUGGGCGUAAAGCGUGCGCAGGCGGUUUUGUAAGUCUGUCGUGAAAUCCCCGGGCUCAACCUGGGAAUGGCGAUGGAGACUGCAAGGCUAGAAUCUGGCAGAGGGGGGUAGAAUUCCACGUGUAGCAGUGAAAUGCGUAGAUAUGUGGAGGAACACCGAUGGCGAAGGCAGCCCCCUGGGCUAAGAUUGACGCUCAUGCACAAAAGCGUGGGGAGCAAACAGGAUUAGAUACCCCCGUAGUCCCUGUCUCUUAUAC